rnacentral:rRNA from 1 species
GAUUAACGCUAGCGGCAGGCAUAAUACAUGCAAGUUGAACGGCAGCACAGGUAGCACUACUGGGUGGCGAGUGGCGCACGGGUGCGUAACACGUAUGCAACCUACCCUAUACAGGCGAAUAACCUUUAGAAAUGAGGGCUAAUACGCCGUAGUAUUACAGAUGGGCAUCUAUUUGUAAUUAAAGAUUUAUCGGUAUAGGAUGGGCAUGCGUCCCAUUAGUUAGUUGGUAAGGUAACGGCUUACCAAGACGAUGAUGGGUAGGGGAUCUGAGGGGACUUACCCCCACACGGGUACUGGGACACGGACCAGACUCCUACGGGAGGCAGCAGUAAGGAAGAUUGGGCAAUGGCCGCGAGGCUGACCCAGCCAUGCCGCGUGCAGGAAGACGGCCUUAUGGGUUGUAAACUGCUUUUAUACGGGAAUAAUAGAGUGUACGCGUACAUUUAUGCAAGUAUCGUAUGAAUAAGCAUCGGCUAACUCCGUG